rnacentral:rRNA from 1 species
UACGUAGGGUACGAGCGUUGUCCGGAAUUAUUGGGCGUAAAGAGCUCGUAGGUGGUUGGUCACGUCUGCUGUGGAAACGCAACGCUUAACGUUGCGCGGGCAGUGGGUACGGGCUGACUAGAGUGCAGUAGGGGAGUCUGGAAUUCCUGGUGUAGCGGUGAAAUGCGCAGAUAUCAGGAGGAACACCGGUGGCGAAGGCGGGACUCUGGGCUGUGACUGACACUGAGGAGCGAAAGUGUGGGGAGCAAACAGGAUUAGAUACCCU